rnacentral:rRNA from 1 species
UACGUAGGGUGCAAGCGUUAUCCGGAUUUAUUGGGUGUAAAGGGUGCGUAGGCGGUUUAUUAAGUCUAAGGUCUAAGUCCGAAGCUCAACUUCGGUUCGCCUUAGAAACUAAUUUACUAGAGUAUGGUAGAGGCAAGUGGAAUUUCUAGUGUAGCGGUUAAAUGCGUAGAUAUUAGAAGGAACAUCAGUGGCGAAGGCGACUUGCUGGGCCAUUACUGACGCUGAGGCACGAAAGCGUGGGGAGCAAAUA